ACACCAACACUGGAGAAACCCCAACCUCAGUGCCCUCUCUAAGGUUGUAGCAACCACAUCCACGCAGACCCUGCCGUGAGGGGCUCAGGGCUGCAGGGCCCCCUCCUUGCUCUGCACACCAGCACGAAGGGGUGACUUCACUGACUGAAGCCAUGUCUGACAGCAUUCAUCUUCUCACCUCCACUGAGACAGAAGAGUACCCUCAGGAGGUUAGAAGAACUUUUAGGAUACAGGGAGUAGGGAGAUCCUUUGAAGAAGAGAGAACCCAGGCUACGGAGACCUUGUCUCUGUCAAUGCAGAUAAGUUCUUGACUUUUUCUUUUAUAUGUCUCCCAACUACCUCUUUUCUGCAUUUCCUCUAGUAAUGAUACAUCACGCUGCGGGGGAAGGAGGAAGGCAAAACUUUUACUGUUUACCCUGGAAUCUUUGCUGAGUGGAUUUAAGGGUAAAGCAAACCCUGGCGGAGCUGCUAACUCAAGAUGUGACUGAUCUACAACUGCUUCCUUCUGGCAGUGCUCCUCAAUCAUCAGAUCUCUCCAUUUACCCCUGUUCCCCAGCCCCUGAGGCCAACCGGCCCAGGCACAGGACAUGUCCCUUCCUCAAUUCAGAGCAAGCACACUCAACAGUGAAAAGGGAUGCUGCAUGGGCUCAAUUGCACUGGACGGGCUGGGUCCUGGAAGGAGUCUACUGUGGAACACCAUCCCCACAUGUAUGACAGGUGGGGAUAUGCAUCAGGAACCCAGAUAUUGGCCCACUGAAGUUAGUGGAAAACUUUAAUUGACUCCAGGAAGCUCAGAAUGUCACAUUAGUAUUGGGAUAAAGGCAAGAAGGAUGUAGGUUACAGGAAUAAUAAGACAUACUUACUCACUGAAGUCUACUGAUUCCUUGAGGCUCCAACUAUUUUGAGACAUUUGGUAUGAGUUGCAUCCAGUCUAUCUGAAACACACAAAGCUUCAAGGCGUAACUUCCUUUUUAUGCAACUAUUU